rnacentral:rRNA from 1 species
GAUGGACGCUGGCGGCGUGCUUAACACAUGCAAGUCGAGCGAGAAAAGUUCUUCGGAGCUUUUCUAGCGGCGGACGGGUGAGUAACACGUGGGCAACCUGCCUCAUAGAGGGGAAUAGCCUUCCGAAAGGAAGAUUAAUACCGCAUAACAUUGUUGAAAGGCAUCUUUUAACAAUCAAAGGAAUAAUCCGCUAUGAGAUGGGCCCGCGGCGCAUUAGCUAGUUGGUGAGGUAACGGCUCACCAAGGCGACGAUGCGUAGCCGACCUGAGAGGGUGAUCGGCCACAUUGGAACUGAGACACGGUCCAGACUCCUACGGGAGGCAGCAGUGGGGAAUAUUGCACAAUGGGGGAAACCUUGAUGCAGCAACGCCGCGUGAGUGAUGAAGGUCUUCGGAUUGUAAAGCUCUGUCUUUAGGGACGAUAAUGACGGUACCUAAGGAGGAAGCCACGGCUAACUACGUGCCAGCAGCCGCAGUAACAC